GUUUAUUUAAAACAUUACAUUUUCAUUGUAAAAAUAAAAAAAUUUUUUUUUAUAAAUA
rnacentral:tRNA from 1 species